CACGAACGCUGGCGGCAUGCCUAACACAUGCAAGUCGAACGAGAUCUUCGGGUCUAGUGGCGCACGGGUGCGUAACGCGUGGGAAUCUGCCCUUUGGUUCGGAAUAACAGUUGGAAACGACUGCUAAUACCGGAUGAUGACGAAAGUCCAAGGAUUUAUCGCCAGAGGAUGAGCCCGCGUAGGAUUAGCUAGUUGGUGUGGUAAAGGCGCACCAAGGCGACGAUCCUUAGCUGGUCUGAGAGGAUGAUCAGCCACACUGGGACUGAGACACGGCCCAGACUCCUACGGGAGGCAGCAGUGGGGAAUAUUGGACAAUGGGCGAAAGCCUGAUCCAGCAAUGCCGCGUGAGUGAUGAAGGCCUUAGGGUUGUAAAGCUCUUUUACCCGGGAUGAUAAUGACAGUACCGGGAGAAUAAGCUCCGGCUAACUCCGUGCCAGCCGCCGCAGUAACAC
rnacentral:rRNA from 1 species